rnacentral:rRNA from 1 species
UACGUAGGGGCCUAGCGUUGUCCGGAUUUAUUGGGCGUAAAGAGCUCGUAGGCGGUUCGGUAAGUCAGGUGUGAAAUCUCCACGCUCAACGUGGAGGCGCCACCUGAAACUGCCGUGACUCGAGUCCGGUAGGGGAGUGUGGAAUUCCCGGUGUAGCGGUGAAAUGCGCAGAUAUCGGGAGGAACACCGGUGGCGAAGGCGGCUAUCUGGACAGAGUCUGACGCUGAGGCGCGAAAGCUAGGGGAGCAAACAGG